rnacentral:rRNA from 1 species
GAUGAACGCUGGCGGCGUGCCUAACACAUGCAAGUCGAGCGAUCUUCUUCGGAAGAGAGCGGCGGACGGGUGAGUAACGCGUGGGUAACCUGCCCUGUACACACGGAUAACAUACCGAAAGGUAUGCUAAUACGAGAUAAUAUACUUUUAUCGCAUGGUAGAAGUAUCAAAGCUCUGGCGGUACAGGAUGGGCCCGCGUCUGAUUAGCUAGUUGGUAAGGUAACGGCUUACCAAGGCGACGAUCAGUAGCCGACCUGAGAGGGUGAUCGGCCAAAUUGGAACUGAGACACGGUCCAAACUCCUACGGGAGGCAGCAGUGGGGAAUAUUGCACAAUGGGCGAAAGCUUGAUGCAGCAACGCCGCGUGAGCGAUGAAGGCCUUCGGGUCGUAAAGCUCUGUCCUCAAGGAAGAUAAUGACGGUACUUGAGGAGGAAGCCCCGGCUAACUACGUGCCAGCCGCCGCCGUAA